CAAUAGCGUAUAUUAAAGUUGUUGCAGUUAAAAAGCUCGUAGUUGGAUUUCUGGGAGAGUGGCGGUGUCCGCUUAACGUGUGUGCAGCGACGCUCUUCCAUCCUUCUGUUAGCGUCUCUCGGCAUUCAUUUGUCGGUGGCGGGCUCAGAUAUUUUACCUUGAGAAAAUUAGAGUGUUUCAGGCAGGCUAGGCCGGAAUACAUUAGCAUGGAAUAAUGGAAUAGGACUACGGUCUCUUUGUUGGUUUGAGGGACUGCAGUAAUGAUUAAUAGGGAUAGUUGGGGGCAUUAGUAUUUAAUUGUCAGAGGUGGAAUUCUCAGAUUUGUUAAAGACUAACUUAUGCGAAAGCAUUUGCCAAGGAUGUUUUCAUUAA
rnacentral:rRNA from 1 species